rnacentral:lncRNA from 1 species
GCAUUUUGUCACAUCAGCCCAGGACGAGAGCAGCCAACUAAAGAGCUUCUCGAUGUUGCAUUGUAAAAGAUAAGAAAAGAAUCCCAUUGAAUGGCUAGCAAGCAGAAGCAUGCAUGUCAGCUCCUUCUGGAAUGGAAUGGCAGCCCUGCCCCCCAACUUCACAGACAAUACAAGUACUCACAAGUUUUUAGAAAGUGUGUACAGCAUCCACAUAGUCCUGAGGGAAGUUGGGUGCAGUUUACACCAUUACAAUAAAAUUGGAAAGAGAAGAGAGAAGUAUGAGCUCACUCCACUGCCUGUCUCCAGGGAGAGGUUACAGUGCAAAAGAGAUACAGAGACUGUGGUAAUUCAGAAGAAGAAGAAGAAGAAGAAGAAGAAGAAGAAAGAUGGGCAAGAGGGAUUCCAUUUGGGGGGAAUCGUUCUCAACCAACUUUACAAUGUCACCUUGGGCGAUUGAAAAGGAAAGCAUUCUUAUGCAUCCAGAUUCAUUUAUUUUUUGGCUUGAAUUUGUAGCAGAGAAAAAGCACCAAUUCCCCACUGUUUCCUGUUCGUAGCAGGUCCAGCUGCCUGCGGGUGGUCUGUACGGUUAUGAGAGCAGAGCUUCAUGUGAGAAAGAGGUUGCCCAUGGUCUUCCAACCUCGGAUUCAUCAGUUAGGAUUGCUAAAAUCUGGCACAAACUCUAGGGAGAGAUUAUAAUUUGAAAAACUCUUCCCUUUAAUUAAUGAUUGUGUUUCAAUCUUAGUAUAACUCUCCCUUGUUUAAAGCUACCCUUGCAUUUAUGUACUGAUUUUUAACAUUGAUUUUGUUGUGGCAUUGUCUUAAGAUAACAUUUCUACAAAGAAAAGGCAAUGAUAUUUAUUGAUGUUUGUUUCAAGUAAAGCACAAUGGCUUUGUUUGAAUGGAUAGUUUGGUAUCUUUAUAAAUUUUUUAAAAUUUAUUUAUUCAUGAGAGACACAGAGAGACAUAAGCAGGGGAAGAAGCAGGGCCCCAAGGGGAGCCCAAUGCAGGACUCGGUCCCAGGACCCCGGCAUCAUGACCUGAGCCAAAGGCAAACAGUCAACCACUGAGCCACCCAGGUGCCCGAUAGUUGGGUAUCUUAAAGUUUAUCAAAAACGGAAAUGAAAGGGUCAUCAUUGCAACUUAAAACAAAAACAAAAAAUUUC